GUUCAGGCUGCACACUGGGAUCAGUAAGCCUCCAUCAUCCACCUCCUCCACAAAGUUUUUGGUUGCUACGGCAAACAUUUCUCACGCGGCUCAUAAACACCUGUGACGGAGAAAGUGAAAUCAGAUUCUCAUGCGGGGAUGCGCUGAGCUCUGUCGCCACCUAGUGGCCGUUAAUAUUCAGUCACUCGACUCAGAUUUUACUCUUCCAGAAGGAAGGGAAACUCCUUAUUGCAGCUACUGCACCAUACUGUGAUUCAGUCAGCAACACACCCCCUCAAUGUUGAGAUGAUGCUUGUAAGGUACUGCUGUUUGUAUCAAUUUCCUCAGAAAGUACAAUCUCUGCUGGGGCUGUUUUAUGAUCCUAGUGAUGUUCCUCAACCACGUGAGGUCAUCAGAGAUUGACACUCCUACAAACAUAAUGCUCUCUAAACCCUCUCUGAUGCACAGUGGCAGAUGCUAAGUGGUCAAAAUUGGACCUCUUCAAGUUGAUGAUUGUAUUCCUCUUGAGGGGAUCCAGUGCUCAGUGUGGCAGAGGUGGACAUGUUCUUUAUUUAUAUUUACAAACACACAAUCAUGAAGAUCCUUUCUACACAUGUUAUUGUGUGAAGUUCUCAAUAAGACAUUAUGGCUUCUUUGGAAUACAUUCCUGUUGUGAAAUUUGGUUUUUGUAAUGCCAAACAUGCAAAACAAAGAUACGCAUUUCAACUUUUUGUUGUUGCUUCAUGUUUUCAUUUUUUCGGUCUUUUAUUUACAACA